AAGUCGUAACAAGGUUUCCGUAGGUGAACCUGCGGAAGGAUCAUUAACACGUGUCCAACGUUAAAACAACCCGUGAACUUUCAGCUUGCUCCUGUAGCCCGUGAAAGCAGCAAUCCCAAUCAUUGUUUGACCAGCUUUUGAGUCAGGGACCUCUGCAGAUUGUAGCUAUAAAGCGAUUGCAUCUAGUGACCUGGCAUCCCCAAGUAAUCAGUGUUCUGAAAGUGUCAUUGAUUGUGUAAGGAUGGCGCAGUCACAAUCGCUGCGGCGACCGGGUCACCGGGCUCUGCUCCUUUACGACAACUACAGUCUAACUUCGCCGCGCGUGAAAUUCGCACGGCACCAAAAACCGAACAACUGAUGGAUAUCUUGGUUCUC
rnacentral:misc_RNA from 1 species